rnacentral:rRNA from 1 species
UACUNCUNCGGGAGGCAGCAGUGAGGAAUAUUGGUCAAUGGGCGGGAGCCUGAACCAGCCAAGCCGCGUGAGGGAAUAAGGCCCUACGGGUCGUAAACCUCUUUUGCCGGGGAGCAAGAUCGGGGACGUGUCCCUGAUUGGAGAGUACCCGGAGAAAAAGCAUCGGCUAACUCCGUGCCAGCAGCCGCGGUAAUAC